AGAGGUAGAGCUCAUUGGUAGAGGGUAUGCCUAGCACACAUGAGGUCCUGGGUUCAAUUCCCACUCCUUCCA
rnacentral:tRNA from 1 species